rnacentral:rRNA from 1 species
AGUGAACGCUGGCGGUAGGCCUAACACAUGCAAGUCGAACGGCAGCACAGUAAGAGCUUGCUCUUACGGGUGGCGAGUGGCGGACGGGUGAGGAAUACAUCGGAAUCUACUUUUUCGUGGGGGAUAACGUAGGGAAACUUACGCUAAUACCGCAUACGACCUACGGGUGAAAGCAGGGGAUCCUCGGACCUUGCGCGAUUGAAUGAGCCGAUGUCGGAUUAGCUAGUUGGCGGGGUAAAGGCCCACCAAGGCGACGAUCCGUAGCUGGUCUGAGAGGAUGAUCAGCCACACUGGAACUGAGACACGGUCCAGACUCCUACGGGAGGCAGCAGUGGGGAAUAUUGGACAAUGGGCGCAAGCCUGAUCCAGCCAUACCGCGUGGGUGAAGAAGGCCUUCGGGUUGUAAAGCCCUUUUGUUGGGAAAGAAAAGCAGCAGGUUAAUACCCCGCUGUUCUGACGGUACCCAAAGAAUAAACACCGGCUAACUUCGU